rnacentral:tRNA from 2 species
GGGCGAUUGGCUCAGCCCGGAAUUAGAGCGCGACGCUGAUACCGUCGAGGUCACUGGUUCGAAUCCAGUAUCGCCCA